rnacentral:sRNA from 2 species
UAAAAUGUUUUCUAGGGUUCCGCAACUAUUUUGUUGGUCUGGUCCGAGAGAAAACUCACAGUCAUGCUGUGUCACGGAAGGAUAAAAGCCUGGGAGAA